rnacentral:rRNA from 1 species
UCCGGUUGAUCCCGCCGGACCUGACUGCUAUCGGAUUGAUACUAAGCCAUGCGAGUCAUUGUAGCAAUACAAGGCAUACGGCUCAGUAACGCGUAGUCAACCUAACCUAUGGACGGGAAUAACCUCGGGAAACUGAGAAUAAUGCCCGAUAGAACAUUAUGCCUGGAAUGGUUUAUGUUCCAAAUGAUUUAUCGCCGUAGGAUGGGACUGCGGCCUAUCAGUUUGUUGGUGAGGUAAUGGCCCACCAAGACUAUUACAGGUACGGGCUCUGAGAGGAGUAGCCCGGAGAUGGGUACUGAGACACGGACCCAGGCCCUAUGGGGCGCAGCAGGCGAGAAAACUUUGCAAUGUGCGAAAGCACGACAAGGUUAAUCCGAGUGGUUUCUGCUAAAGGAACCUUUUGUCAGUCCUAGAAACACUGAUGAAUAAGGGGUGGGCAAGUUCUGGUGUCAGCCGCCGCGGUAAAACCAGCACCUCAAGUGGUCAGGAUGAUUAUUGGGCCUAAAGCAUCCGUAGCCGGCUCUGUAAGUUUUCGGUUAAAUCUGUACGCCCAACGUACAGGCUACCGGGAAUACUGCAAAGCUAGGGAGUGGGAGAGGUAGACGGUACUCGGUAGGAAGGGGUAAAAUCCUUUGAUCUAUUGAUGACCACCUGUGGCGAAGGCGGUCUACCAGAACACGUCCGACGGUGAGGGAUGAAAG